GAUUGCAGGCUGCAACUCGCCUGCAUGAAGUUGGAAUUGCUAGUAAUCGCGGAUCAGCAUGCCGCGGUGAAUACGUUCCCGGGCCUUGUACACACCGCCCGUCACACCAUGGGAGCCGGUAAUACCCGAAGUCAGUAGCCUAACCGCAAGGGGGGCGCUGCCGAAGGUAGGAUUGGCGACUGGGGUGAAGUCGUAACAAGGUAGC
rnacentral:rRNA from 1 species